rnacentral:rRNA from 1 species
UACGUAGGGGGCAAGCGUUGUCCGGAAUCAUUGGGCGUAAAGAGCGUGUAGGCGGUCCGGUAAGUCGGCUGUGAAAGUCCAGGGCUCAACCCUGGGAUGCCGGUCGAUACUGCCGGACUAGAGUUCGGAAGAGGCGAGUGGAAUUCCCGGUGUAGCGGUGAAAUGCGUAGAUAUCGUAAGGAAGACCAGUGGCGAAGGCGGGUCUCUGGACAGUUCCUGACGCUGAGGCACGAAGGUCAGGGGAGCAAACGGG